UGUCUGGUCUGUAACUGACGCUGAGGCUCGAAAGUAUGGGUAGCAAACAGGAUUAGAUACCUGGUAGUCCAUACCGUAAACGAUGAAUGCUAAGUGUUGGAGGUUUCCCCUUCAGUGCUGCAGCUAACGCAUUAAGCAUUCCGCUGGGGAGUACGGCCGCAAGGCUGAAACUCAAAGGAAUUGACGGGGGCCCGCACAGCGGUGGAGCAUGUGGUUUAAUUCGAAGCUACGCGAAGAACCUUACCAGGUCUUGACAUACUAUGCAAAUCUAAGAGAUUAGACGUUCCCUUCGGGGACAUGGAUACAGGUGGUGCAUGGUUGUCGUCAGCUCGUGUCGUGAGGUGUUGGGUUAAGUCCCGCAACGAGCGCAACCCUUAUUAUCAGUUGCCAGCAUUAAGUUGGGCACUCUGGUGAGACUGCCGGUGACAAACCGGAGGAAGGUGGGGAUGACGUCAAAUCAUCAUGCCCCUUAUGACCUGGGCUACACACGUGCUACAAUGGAUGGUACAACGAGUUGCGAACUCGCGAGAGUAAGCUAAUCUCUUAAAGCCAUUCUCAGUUCGGAUUGUAGGCUGCAACUCGCCUACAUGAAGUCGGAAUCGCUAGUAAUCGCGGAUCAGCAUGCCGCGGUGAAUACGUUCCCGGGCCUUGUACACACCGCCCGUCACACCAUGAGAGUUUGUAACACCCAAAGUCGGUGGGGUAACCUUUAGGAACCAGCCGCCUAAGGUGGGACAGAUGAUUAGGGUGAAGUCGUAACAAGGUAACCA
rnacentral:rRNA from 1 species